rnacentral:rRNA from 1 species
UACAGAGGUCUCAAGCGUUGUUCGGAUUCAUUGGGCGUAAAGGGUGCGUAGGUGGCGGGGUAAGUCAGGUGUGAAAUCUCGGGGCUCAACCCCGAAACUGCACUUGAUACUGCCUUGCUCGAGUACUGGAGAGGAGAUUGGAAUUUACGGUGUAGCAGUGAAAUGCGUAGAUAUCGUAAGGAAGACCAGUGGCGAAGGCGAAUCUCUGGACAGUUACUGACGCUGAGGCACGAAGGCCAGGGGAGCAAACGGG